rnacentral:misc_RNA from 1 species
GAACAUGCGUGUAGGUACUGUGGGGUUUCAAAUCCGGCUUGUGUGGUGAGGUGUAAUGUUCCAUCGUGUAGGAAGUGGUUUUGUAAUUCUAGAGGGAACACUUCGGGUUCGCAUAUUGUCAAUCACCUGGUUCGUGCAAAACAUAAGGAAGUUUGUCUCCAUAAAGACAGUCCUCUGGGGGAAACGAUACUUGAAUGCUACAACUGUGGAUGUCGAAAUGUAUUCCUUCUUGGAUUUAUAUCGGCCAAGAC